GAAGGUAUAGCUCAGCAACAGGAUAUGUGCUUAGCAUGCAUGAGGUCCUGGGUUCAAUCCCCAGUACCUCCA
rnacentral:tRNA from 1 species